UGGAUGACGAAAUGUUUUGUGGCAAAAAAAAUCCCGCAAAGGGUUUAUACACAGCUCUAAAAGGAGCGUUGGUAAUGGAUUCGGAGGACCUGGACAAAGGUUUAAGGAAAGCGAUGACCAAUGUAUAAAGCCAAUAACGUAACAUAAAACUAGGCUUACUAUAAUAAUUGUCCUUUAACAGA